ACACAUGCAAGUGGAGCGACGACCCAGGCUUCGGCCUGGUGCAAAGCCGCGAACGGGUGAGUAACACGUGGAUUAUCUGCCCCAAUGACCGGGACAACCCGAGGAAACUCGAGCUAAUACCGGAUACCUCCCUCUGAUCGCAUGGUCGGAGGAAGAAAGAACUUCGUUCCAGGAGGGGUUCGCGGCCUAUCAGCUUGUUGGCGGGGUAACGGCCCACCAAGGCGACGAUGUCUAGGGGAUCUGAGAGGAUGACCCCCCACACUGGUACUGAGACACGGACCAGACUCCUACGGGAGGCAGCAGUAAGGAAUAUUGGUCAAUGGACGCAAGUCUGAACCAGCCAUGCCGCGUGCAGGAAGACGGUCCUAUGGAUUGUAAACUGCUUUUAUUUGGGAAUAAACCUUUCUACGUGUAGGAAGCUGAAGGUACCAAAUGAAUAAGCACCGGCUAACUCCGUGCCAGCAGCCGCGGUAAUACGGAGGGUGCAAGCGUUGUCCGGAUUUAUUGGGUUUAAAGGGUGCGUAGGCGGCCAGAUAAGUCAGUUCUGAAAUAUUCCGGCUUAACCGGAAGGGUGGGAUUGAUACUGUUUGGCUUGAGUGGAGUCGAGGUAGGCGGAAUUGACGGUGUAGCGGUGAAAUGCUUAGAUAUCGUCAAGAACACCGAUAGUGUAGACAGCUUACCAGGCUUAGACUGACGCUGAGGCACGAAAGUGUGGGGAUCAAACAGGAUUAGAUACCCUGGUAGUCCACACUGUAAACGUUGAUUACUCGCUGUUGGCGAUACACAGCCAGCGGCUAAGCGCAAGCGAUAAGUAAUCCACCUGGGGAGUACGAUCGCAAGGUUGAAACUCAAAGGAAUUGACGGGGGCCCGCACAAGCGGUGGAGCAUGUGGUUUAAUUCGAUGAUACGCGAGGAACCUUACCAGGGCUUAAAUGCAGAACGCAUAUAUUGGAAACAGUAUAGUCUUCGGACGGUCUGCAAGGUGCUGCAUGGCUGUCGUCAGCUCGUGCCGUGAGGUGCUGGGUUAAGUCCCGCAACGAGCGCAACCCUCGUGUUUAGUUGCCACCGUUGAGUUUGGAACCCUGAACCGACUGCCGGUGAUAAGCCGGAGGAAGGUGAGGAUGACGUCAA
rnacentral:rRNA from 1 species